CUGGUGAAUACUGUUGUGCCUUGCUCCUCACUUAGGAAUCUGAGGCAGCAGUUUUGAAAUUUUCUAUGGGGCACUCGUCGGGGGGUCAUGGACUUCACUUGCUUUUCUGAGAGGUGGUCUGCCAGCCAGUAUGGGAUGGAGAUCUUGGAAUCUAGUCCUUGUUGAUAAGGAGGGAGGCUAUGAUAUAUAGAUACAUUGCUGGAUUCCUCAUCCAGCCUGAUUAUUUGUGGAGCAACGUGAUGAGGGCUCGUUA
rnacentral:lncRNA from 1 species